rnacentral:tRNA from 1 species
UGCGGGAUGGUGUAACGGUAGCACGACUGACUCUGGAUCAGUUAGUCCAGGUUCGAAUCCUGGCCCCGCAGCCA